AUACGGAGGGUGCAAGCGUUACUCGGAAUCACUGGGCGUAAAGCGCGCGCAGGCGGCUUGAUAAGUUGGAUGUGAAAGCCUACGGCUCAACCGUAGAACUGCAUCCAAAACUGUCAAGCUAGAGUCUGGGAGGGGAAGAUGGAAUUAGUUGUGUAGGGGUAAAAUCCGUAGAGAUAACUAGGAAUACCAAGAGCGAAGGCGAUCUUCUGGACCAGUACUGACGCUGAGGCGCGAAAGCGUGGGGAGCAAACAGGAUUAGAAACCCCAGUAGUCC
rnacentral:rRNA from 1 species